rnacentral:rRNA from 1 species
AUGGAGAGCCCCACAUCGGCGGCGUCGCGGGUGGACUUCUACGGCUUCCUCGACCGCAUGCGCCGCCCAGAGGCCGCCGGCCUCUUCCGCUCCAUCAAGAGCUUCCUCACCUCCAUCUCCCUCGACGAGCCCAGCACCGAGGCGGACGGCGCCAGGGUCCAGGCCUUCUUCACGGAGAUGGAGGCGGCCAUCCGGGGGCACCCGCUCUGGGCCGAGGCCACCCACCAGGAAAUCGACCACGCGCUCGAGGGCCUCAAGAAGUACAUCAUCACCAAGCUGUUCGACCGCACUUUCGCAGCCUCGCCGAAGGACGCGGCCGCCGACGCCGAGGUCUCGGACAAGAUCGGCCUCCUGCAGCGCUUUGUCAGGCCCCAUCACCUCGACAUACCCAAGGUCCUCAACAACGAGGCUUCCUGGCUGUAUCGGCGACAACAAGAAGGCCUGGAAGACCGGACACUGCAGGGCACUGAAGAUAAAGCUUACAGAAAGAAAAAAAGAUCUUGA